rnacentral:rRNA from 1 species
UACGUAGGGACCAAGCGUUGUUCGGAUUUACUGGGCGUAAAGGGCGCGUAGGCGGCAAUUCAAGUCAGCUGUGAAAUCUCCGGGCUUAACUCGGAACGGUCAGCUGAUACUGCUUUGCUAGAGUGCAGAAGGGGCAAUCGGAAUUCUUGGUGUAGCGGUGAAAUGCGUAGAUAUCAAGAGGAACACCUGAGGUGAAGACGGGUUGCUGGGCUGACACUGACGCUGAGGCGCGAAAGCUAGGGGAGCGAACGGG